rnacentral:rRNA from 1 species
ACACAUGCAAGUCGAACGGUAGCAGGAUGUGCUUGCACAUCGCUGACGAGUGGCGGACGGGUGAGUAAUGCUUGGGAACUUGCCUUUGCGAGGGGGAUAACAGUUGGAAACGACUGCUAAUACCGCAUAAUGUCUUCGGACCAAACGGGGCUUUUAGCUCCGGCGCAAAGAGAGGCCCAAGUGAGAUUAGCUAGAUGGUGAGGUAAAGGCUCACCAUGGCGACGAUCUCUAGCUGUUCUGAGAGGAAGAUCAGCCACACUGGGACUGAGACACGGCCCAGACUCCUACGGGAGGCAGCAGUGGGGAAUAUUGCACAAUGGGGGAAACCCUGAUGCAGCCAUGCCGCGUGUGUGAAGAAGGCCUUCGGGUUGUAAAGCACUUUCAGUUGUGAGGAAAGGUUGGUAGUUAAUACCUGCCAGCUGUGACGUUAACAACAGAAGAAGCACCGGCUAACUCCGUGCCAGCAGCCGCGGUAAUACGGAGGGUGCGAGCGUUAAUCGGAAUUACUGGGCGUAAAGCGCACGCAGGCGGUUUGUUAAGCUAGAUGUGAAAGCCCCGGGCUCAACCUGGGAUGGUCAUUUAGAACUGGCAGACUAGAGUCUUGGAGAGGGGAGUGGAAUUCCAGGUGUAUCGGUGAAAUGCGUACAUAUCUGGAGGAACAUCAGUGGCGAAGGCGACUCCCUGGCCAAACACUGACCUCAUGUGCGAAAGUGUGGGUAACGUACCAGAUUAGAUACCCUGGUAGUCCCACCGUAUACGCUGUCUAAUACUGUGUGUGGCGUUUUUAGCGCGCGUAUUGCAGAUAACGCGCUGAAUAGACGUCAUGGCGGAGGACUGGCCGGCAAGGUGAUACUCAGAUGCAUU